AAUAGCGUAUAUUAAAGUUGUUGCGGUUAAAAAGCUCGUAGUUGGAUCUCAGAUCAAGCCAGGCGGUCCAUCACUGUGUUGAUGGUUACCUGCUCUGCGCUGAUCAUUGUCAGUUGACCGAGUCGCUCCCGCGAUGCUCUUAACCGAGUGUCGUGGGCGAUCGGUACGUUUACUUUGAAAAAAUUAGAGUGCUCAAAGCAGGCAUUCAUUACACUGAAAUAUGCCUAAAUAAUCUUGCAUGGAAUAAUGGAAUAGGACCUCGGUUCUAUUUUGUUGGUCUUCGGAACCACGAGGUAAUGAUUAAGAGAGACAGACGGGGGCAUUCGUAUUGCGGCGCUAGAGGUGAAAUUCUUGGACCGUCGCAAGACGAACUACAGCGAAAGCAUUUGCCAAGAAUGUUU
rnacentral:rRNA from 1 species